rnacentral:rRNA from 1 species
AUUGAACGCUGGCGGCAUGCCUAACACAUGCAAGUCGAACGAGUGGCGGACGGGUGAGUAAUGUCUGGGAAACUGCCUGAUGGAGGGGGAUAACUACUGUAAACGGUAGCUAAUACCGCAUACCAUCGGAUGUGCCCAGAUGGGAUUAGCUAGUAGGUUGGGGAAAGGAUCACAUAGGCGACGAUCCCUAGCUGGUCGGAGAGGAUGACCGGCAAACUAGGAACUGAGACACGAUCCAGAGUCCGACGGGAGGAAGCAGAGGGGAAUAUUGCACAAUGGGCGAAAGCCUGAUGAAGCCAUGCCGGGUGUAUGAAGAAGGCCUACGGGUUGUAAAGUACUUUCAGAGGGGAGAGGUUACCAGCAGAAGAAGCACCGGCUAACACCGUGCAAGCAGCGAGGUAAUAC